UACGUAGGGGGCAAGCGUUGUCCGGAUUUAUUGGGCGUAAAGCGCGCGCAGGCGGUCUACCAAGUUCGGAGUGACAGUUUCCGGCUUAACCGGAAAAGGUCUUCGAAAACUGGUGGACUUGAGGACUUGAGGGGGAGACGGAAUUCCCGGUGUAGCGGUGGAAUGCGUAGAGAUCGGGAAGAACAUCGGUGGCGAAGGCGGCCUGCUGGGCUGUUGCUGACGCUGAGGCGCGACAGCGUGGGGAGCAAACAGG
rnacentral:rRNA from 1 species